GCCGCCGUGGUGUAAUGGCCAGCACACUCGGCGAGUAUCUAGAGGUCUGAGGUUUGAAUCCCAGCGAGGGCA
rnacentral:tRNA from 1 species